rnacentral:tRNA from 1 species
GGCUGGGUGGCAGAGUGGUGAUGCAGCGGCCUGCAAAGCCGUGUACAUGGGUUCGAUUCCCGUCCCAGCCUCCA